GCUGGGAUGGCUCAGUCAGUACAGCAGGAGACUCUUAAUCUUAGGGUUGCGGGUUCGAAUCCCAGGUUGGGCG